GACGGAGGAUGCAAGUGUUAUCCGGAAUCACUGGGCGUAAAGCGUCUGUAGGUGGUUUAAUAAGUCAACUGUUAAAUCUUGAGGCUCAACCUCAAAAAUCGCAGUCGAAACUAUUAGGCUAGAGUAUAGUAGGGGUAAAGGGAAUUUCCAGUGGAGCGGUGAAAUGCGUAGAGAUUGGAAAGAACACCGAUGGCGAAGGCACUUUACUGGGCUAUUACUAACACUCAGAGACGAAAGCUAGGGUAGCAAAUGGGG
rnacentral:rRNA from 1 species